rnacentral:rRNA from 1 species
UUUGCCUACGGGGGGCAGCAGUGGGGAAUAUUGCACAAUGGGCGCAAGCCUGAUGCAGCCAUGCCGCGUGUAUGAAGAAGGCCUUCGGGUUGUAAAGUACUUUCAGCGGGGAGGAAGGGAGUAAAGUUAAUACCUUUGCUCAUUGACGUUACCCGCAGAAGAAGCACCGGCUAACUCCGUGCCAGCAGCCGCGGUAAUACGGAGGGUGCAAGCGUUAAUCGGAAUUACUGGGUGUAAAGCGCACGCAGGCGGUUUGUUAAGUCAGAUGUGAAAUCCUUGGGUUCAACCGGG